CGCUAGCUACAGGCUUAACACAUGCAAGUCGAGGGGCAGCAUGACCUAGCAAUAGGUUGAUGGCGACCGGCGCACGGGUGAGUAACACGUAUCCAACCUACCGGUUAUUCCGGGAUAGCCUUUCGAAAGAAAGAUUAAUACCGGAUAGUAUAGCGAGAAGGCAUCUUCUUGUUAUUAAAGAAUUUCGAUAACCGAUGGGGAUGCGUUCCAUUAGUUUGUUGGCGGGGUAACGGCCCACCAAGACAUCGAUGGAUAGGGGUUCUGAGAGGAAGGUCCCCCACAUUGGAACUGAGACACGGUCCAAACUCCUACGGGAGGCAGCAGUGAGGAAUAUUGGUCAAUGGACGAGAGUCUGAACCAGCCAAGUAGCGUGAAAGGAUGACUGCCCUAUGGGUUGUAAACUUCUUUUAUAUGGGAAUAAAGUGAGCCACGUGUGGCUUUUUUGUAUGUACCAUACGAAUAAGGAUCGGCUAACUCCGUGCCAGCAGCAGC
rnacentral:rRNA from 1 species